rnacentral:rRNA from 1 species
AGAACGAACGCUGGCGGCGUGGAUAAGACAUGCAAGUCGAACGCGAUUUAUCAGGUUAGCAAUAACUUGGUAAAUUGAGUGGCGAAAGGGUGCGUAACACGUGGGAAUUUACCAAGAAGUGGGGGAAUAGCUCGACGAAAGUCGAAUUAAUACCGCAUAUGAUCGCAAGAUCAAAGCCGGGGACCGCAAGGCCUGGCGCUUUUUGAGAAGCCCGCGGCCCAUCAGCUAGUUGGCGGGGUAAAGGCCACCAAGGCUAUGACGGGUAGCUGGUCUGAGAGGACGACCAGCCACACUGGAACUGAGACACGGUCCAGACACCUACGGGUGGCAGCAGUCGAGAAUUUUUCACAU